ensembl:snoRNA U3 Small nucleolar RNA U3
AAAACUAUACUUUCAGGAAUCAUUUCUAUAGUUCGUUACUAGAGAAGUUUCUCCAGACGUGUAGAGCACCCAAUAUAAACUGGUACAACCACCAUGGGAAACAGU